rnacentral:rRNA from 1 species
UGGGGAAUAUUGGACAAUGGGCGAAAGCCUGAUCCAGCCAUGCCGCGUGUGUGAAGAAGGUCUUCGGAUUGUAAAGCACUUUAAGUUGGGAGGAAGGGCAGUAAGCGAAUACCUUGCUGUUUUGACGUUACCGACAGAAUAAGCACCGGCUAACUCUGUGCCAGCAGCCGCGGUAAUACAGAGGGUGCAAGCGUUAAUCGGAAUUACUGGGCGUAAAGCGCGCGUAGGUGGUUCGUUAAGUUGAAUGUGAAAGCCCCGGGCUCAACCUGGGAACUGCAUCCAAAACUGGCGAGCGAGAGUAGGGCAGAGGGUGGUGGAAUUUCGUGUGUAGCGGUGAAAUGCGUAGAUAUAGGAAGGAACACCAGUGGCGAAGGCGACCACCUGGGCUCAUACUGACACUGAGGUGCGAAAGCGUGGGGAGCAAACAGG